rnacentral:rRNA from 1 species
GAUGAACGCUGGCGGCGUGCCUAAUACAUGCAAGUCGAGCGAACAGACGAGGAGCUUGCUCCUCUGACGUUAGCGGCGGACGGGUGAGUAACACGUGGAUAACCUACCUAUAAGACUGGGAUAACUUCGGGAAACCGGAGCUAAUACCGGAUAAUAUAUUGAACCGCAUGGUUCAAUAGUGAAAGACGGUUUUGCUGUCACUUAUAGAUGGAUCCGCGCGGCAUUAGCUAGUAGGUGAGGUAACGGCUUACCAAGGCAACGAUGCGUAGCCGACCUGAGAGGGUGAUCGGCCACACUGGAACUGAGACACGGUCCAGACUCCUACGGGAGGCAGCAGUAGGGAAUCUUGCGCAAUGGGCGAAAGCCUGACGGAGCAACGCCGCGUGAGUGAUGAAGGUCUUCGGAUCGUAAAGCUCUGUUAUUAGGGAAGAACAAAUGUGUAAGUAACUAUGCACGUAUUGACGGUACCUGAUCAGAAAGCCACGGCUAACUACGUG